CUCUACCAGCCUAGCUAACGAAAACAAGCCAGGCAACAGCAAGUAGCGGAUUGAUGUGUGUGUUUGUCAUCUUUCUGCUUUUCUUUUGCUAUCCUGACACCCCUCGUACACUCCGUUUCCCCCCUACUACUUUUUUAUUUCUUCUUUCGUCGUCACACAACAAUAUAAAACUGAAGUUGCUUAAGUAAAGCACCGUUUCCCCCAUCCCCUCCUGUUACUCUUAUUCUUUUAAGUAUUCUUCAUUGUCAAGCCGCCAAAGUGGAGAGUUUGAUUGCAGAAGGGGGUGCUUCUCGUUUCAGUGCUUCUUCGGGGGGAGGAGGUGGUAGGGGCGCACCUCAGCACUAUCCCAAGACUGUCGGCAACAGCGAGUUCCUGGGGAAAACCCCAGGGCAAAGCGUUCAGAUAUGGGUUCCUUCCC